GCAGCCGCCGCGGUAACACGAAGGGUGCAAGCGUUACUCGGAAUUACUGGGCGUAAAGCGUGCGUAGGUGGUGGUUUAAGUCCGUUGUGAAAGCCCUGGGCUCAACCUGGGAAUUGCAGUGGAUACUGGGUCACUAGAGUGUGGUAGAGGAUAGUGGAAUUUCCGGUGUAGCAGUGAAAUGCGUAGAGAUCGGAAGGAACAUCUGUGGCGAAGGCGACUAUCUGGGCCAACACUGACACUGAGGCACGAAAGCGUGGGGAGCAAACAGGAUUAGAUACCCCAGUAGUCCCUGUCUCUUAUAC
rnacentral:rRNA from 1 species